GUGAGGAAUAUUGCGCAAUGGAGGCAACUCUGACGCAGCCAUGCCGCGUGCAGGAAGAAGGCGCUACGCGUUGUAAACUGCUUUUAACCGGGAAGAAACCCCAGGACGUGUCCUGGGUUGACGGUACCGGAGGAAUAAGCACCGGCUAACUUCGUGCCAGCAGCCGCGGUAAUACGAAGGGUGCAAGCGUUAUCCGGAUUCAUUGGGUUUAAAGGGUGCGUAGGCGGAGUGUUAAGUCAGUGGUGAAAUCCUGCAGCUUAACUGUAGACUUGCCAUUGAUACUGGCGCUCUUGAGUGCGCUUGAAGUGGGCGGAAUGUGCCGUGUAGCGGUGAAAUGCUUAGAUAUGGCACAGAACACCAAUUGCGAAGGCAGCUCACUAAGGCGAUACUGACGCUGAGGCACGAAAGCGUGGGGAUCGAACAGGAUUAGAAACCCUAGUAGUCC
rnacentral:rRNA from 1 species